rnacentral:rRNA from 1 species
UACGAGGGGGGCAAAUGUUGUUCGGAAUUACUGGGCGUAAAGGGCGCGUAGGCGGCCUGCUAAGUCGAACGUGAAGUCCCCGGGCUCAACCCGGGAACUGCGUCCGAUACUGGCAGGCUUGAAUCCGGGAGAGGGAUGUGGAAUUCCGGGUGUAGCGGUGAAAUGCGUAGAUAUCUGGAGGAACACCGGUGGCGAAGGCGGCAUCCUGGACCGGUAUUGACGCUGAUGCGCGAAAGCCAGGGGAGCAAACGGG